rnacentral:rRNA from 1 species
GAUGAACGCUGGCGGCGUGCCUAAUACAUGCAAGUCGAGCGAACAGACGAGGAGCUUGCUCCUCUGACGUUGGCGGCGGACGGGUGAGUAACACGUGGAUAACCUACCUAUAAGACUGGGAUAACUUCGGGAAACCGGAGCUAAUACCGGAUAAUAUAUUGAACCGCAUGGUUCAAUAGUGAAAGACGGUUUUGCUGUCACUUAUAGAUGGAUCCGCGCCGCAUUAGCUAGUUGGUAAGGUAACGGCUUACCAAGGCGACGAUGCGUAGCCGACCUGAGAGGGUGAUCGGCAACACUGGAACUGAGACACGGUCCAGACUCCUACGGGAGGCAGCAGUAGGGAAUCUUCCGCAAUGGGCGAAAGCCUGACGGAGCAACGCCGCGUGAGUGAUGAAGGUCUUCGGAUCGUAAAACUCUGUUAUUAGGGAAGAACAAAUGUGUAAGUAACUAUGCACGUCUUGACGGUACCUAAUCAGAAAGCCACGGCUAACUACGUG